AGCAGCCGCGGUAAUUCCAGCUCCAAUAGCGUAUAUUAAAGUUGUUGCAGUUAAAAAGCUCGUAGUUGAAUUUCGGGAUCAAAUUGUUGGUCGUGCCUCGGUACGCACUGGUAUUAUUGGUUCCUACCUUCUGAAGAACCGCGAUGUCAUUAAUUUGGUGUCGUGGGGAAUCAGGACUGUUACUUUGAAAAAAUUAGAGUGUUUAAAGCAGGCUUACGCUUGAAUACAUUAGCAUGGAAUAAUGAAAUAGGACGUUUGAUUCUAUUUUGUUGGUUUCUAGGAUUGACGUAAUGAUUAAUAGGGAUAGUUGGGGGCAUUAGUAUUCAAUUGUCAGAGGUGAAAUUCUUGGAUUUAUUGAAGACUAACUACUGCGAAAGCAUUUGCCAAGGAUGUUUUCAUUAAUCAAGAACGAAAGUUAGGGGGAUCGAAGACGAUCAGAUACCGUCGUAGUCUUAACCAUAAACUAUGCCGACUAGGGAUCGGAUGAUGUUAAUUUUUAAUGACUCAUUCGGCGCCUUAC
rnacentral:rRNA from 1 species